rnacentral:lncRNA from 13 species
CUGAAACACAUUCGUCGACCCCACUCUUGCAGUUAGGCUGGUUGUGCAAUCCACCUGGUGAGCACCAGACCCCUGUUAACCAGACACUUUGCUAAGCAGCACACGUCCCUGCAGAGCUGGCUGUCCUAGAGGUCAUCUGUCCAUUGUAUGGGCCACAAUGAAUCCCAGGGUGCUCUGGGAAUACCAACCUCUUGAAUCAAAGAAAAGCUGUCCAGGACCAUUUACCGGAGCUGAACAUCAGAGUGAAACAAUUCAUUGGGAUGACUGCCCACAAGGAGACCAAACAGCAGCAAAGGAGAAUUGGAGUGUUACGGCAAUUCAGCAUUCACAGUGGGAUCACCCAUCAUUGUUGGGAAAUGAACAGUAAGCCCUCAUUGUAAAUUUGACUUCUUGCACAGCUCGUAGCAUCCUCAAGACAAACUGAUGAGCAAGGCAAGUGUGAGGCAAUUGUUUGCCCUUGAUACAGCAAAUGUAACAGUUAAAAGAUGGGCUUGUUUUGAGACGAAAUGAUCUUUUCUGAGAACCUGAAAAGCAAGUUACUUCUUGGUUUAUGACUUUGCAUAACCUCUUUCCCUUAAAUUAAACUUGUACCUAGAAAGUCACUAUGUAUUUAACCUUCUU